AUUGAACGCUGGCGGCAGGCCUAACACAUGCAAGUCGAGCGGAUGAAGGGAGCUUGCUCCUGGAUUCAGCGGCGGACGGGUGAGUAAUGCCUAGGAAUCUGCCUGGUAGUGGGGGAUAACGUCCGGAAACGGGCGCUAAUACCGCAUACGUCCUGAGGGAGAAAGUGGGGGAUCUUCGGACCUCACGCUAUCGGAUGAGCCUAGGUCGGAUUAGCUAGUUGGUGGGGUAAAGGCCUACCAAGGCGACGAUCCGUAACUGGUCUGAGAGGAUGAUCAGUCACACUGGAACUGAGACACGGUCCAGACUCCUACGGGAGGCAGCAGUGGGGAAUAUUGGACAAUGGGCGAAAGCCUGAUCCAGCCAUGCCGCGUGUGUGAAGAAGGUCUUCGGAUUGUAAAGCACUUUAAGUUGGGAGGAAGGGCAGUAAGUUAAGACCUUGCUGUUUUGACGUUACCAACAGAAUAAGCACCGGCUAACUUCGUG
rnacentral:rRNA from 1 species